GGGGACGUAGCUCAUUUGGUAGAGCGCUUCAUUCGCAUUGAAGAGGUAAGGGGUUCGAUUCCCCUCGUCUCCACCA
rnacentral:tRNA from 1 species